UAAGCAUGAGCAAGUGACCUUGAGACAUAA
rnacentral:piRNA from 1 species